AACGAACGCUGGCGGCAUGCCUAACACAUGCAAGUCGAACGAGACCUUCGGGUCUAGUGGCGCACGGGUGCGUAACGCGUGGGAACCUGCCCUUAGGUUCGGAAUAACUCCCCGAAAGGGGUGCUAAUACCGGAUAAUGUCUUCGGACCAAAGAUUUAUCGCCUUUGGAUGGGCCCGCGUUGGAUUAGCUAGUUGGUAGGGUAAAAGCCUACCAAGGCGACGAUCCAUAGCUGGUCUGAGAGGAUGAUCAGCCACACUGGGACUGAGACACGGCCCAGACUCCUACGGGAGGGAGCAGUGGGGAAUAUUGGACAAUGGGCGAAAGCCUGAUCCAGCAAUGCCGCGUGAGUGAUGAAGGCCUUAGGGUUGUAAAGCUCUUUUACCCGGGAUGAUAAUGACAGUACCGGGAGAAUAAGCUCCGGCUAACUCCGU
rnacentral:rRNA from 1 species